UUCCGGCUUUUUUUUUUUUUUAAUUAAAACCAUACUAAAAAUCAUGCUUUCGUGUCAGUCGGGCUUUAAGUAUAAUAUGUCCAUGUCUGGUGGCACGGUGGGCCAGCUGUACAGCAUUGGCCUCACAGUUCUUAGGUCCGGGGUUCAUAUCCUGGCCCCAGUUGUGUGGAGUUUGCAUGUUCUCGCAGUGUCCGCGUGGGUUUUCUCCGGGCACUCCGGGCUCCCGUGUCCCCAAAAACAUGCAUUAAAUGGACACUCUAAAUUCCUCCUAUGUGGGAUUGUGAGUGCGACUGUUCUCUGUCUCCAUGUGUCCUCCUAUUGGCUGCCAACCAAUUCAGGGUGUGCCCUGCCUCCUGCCUAAUGACAGCUGGGAUUGACUCUAGCACUCCCGCGGCCCUCGUGAGGAUAAACGACUCAGGAAAUGGACAGAUGGAUGGAUAUACAGUGAUGCCUCGGUUCUCAACCAGAAUCCGUUCCAGAAAACAGUUCCAGAAGUGAUUUGUUCAAAAACCGAAUCGAUGUUUUGCAUUCCAAUGAAUGGAAAAAGAAAUAAUGCAUUCCAAGCCUAAAAAAAUUGGCUUUUUAAAGCAUUUUUUUUCAGUUUUUCCUGAUAAUAAACUGCAUAGUAGAUAUACAUGUAUAAUUUAAAUACUUUAUAUAAUAAAAUAAUUUAAGAAAUAUAUUUAUUUUAUCCUUCAAAUGUAUGCUUUAGUAGUAGAGUACGCUAGUCUGGGAGUGCAUUCCCGUAUCUGUAGCGACUCGGCCACCAGCCUUGUAAACUUUUUUUUAUUAACAAAAGUGCAGAAUAACUUUUUUAACAAUUUACCUUCUUUGGAAUUGUGAUUGGGGGUUAUUACGGUAGUCCUCGAUAAGAAAAACAGUCACUUCCUGGACACGUCUGUGUACAGAGGCUGCGUUAUACAGAAAAACAAAAGUGCGCUGGUUGCGCCGCGCGCAUUAUGUUAUUCCCGGGUUUUUUCAGCGGCGUGUGAAUUCACAACAAAGUGCGUCGUGGGUCAGCUGGUCUGGCCGCGCCCAUUGUUAUUGUAAAUGUUAUUGUUGUUUUGUCGGGGAGUUCGAGUACCGAUUUUCGUUCAAAAACAGAAGCAAAAAAAUCUCGAAAUUGUCGUUCGAUGACCGAUUUGUUCGAGAACCGAGGCUUUACUGUACUGUACAUCCAUCCAUCUAUCAAUUCAUCCGGGGCCAGGCCAGGCCAAUGUGGCGACAAAGCCAAAAUUUUAUAUACCUUGCCUGGAACCUCCAUCAUCAGGACCCCUCUACCAACACACAGGCACGGGGAGAACAUGGAAACUCUACACAGGGAGGGCUGGGAUGAACCCGGGUCCUCAGAACUAUGUGAGGCCACGCUUUACCAGCUUGUCCAUUCUCAACUCGUAAAACAGGAUAAUAAUGUGAACAAAUGGCAGCACAGUGGAGCAUCUGCACAGUGCAGUUUAUCCUCUACAUUACAUAUCCUUGGCCAAGCCUUCAAAAGGAGCAUUAUGACUCAUCUCCAAUCCGAAAAAGAUCCAUAGUAGCUUUAUUUGGUGCAUUGCUGUGGAACUUAAAGGAAUAUAAGAGUUUAAGCUUAAAGUAGUUCAUUAGAUGUUGCUGCAUCCUGUGUAUGAAAGUGUGAGACUGUAAAGUGCUGAGUGUGUGACUGGUGAAACGAAACAGGGUAUGUGGUGCAAGAAUGGAAUGUUUUAGAACAGACGGUGCUAAAUGCAAGGAGGAUGCUGACACGGGAGGAGUCGGAGGCAGUUGGUGGAAAAACUACUGUCAGGAAACCACCACCAGGAGGAGCCAGCACGCGAUUCUGCAGGGGAGGAGUCGGGCCAACAUCCGGCGGACCAAAGGAGACCAAUGAGAGAGCGCCAAGGAUACCUGCAGGAGACUCAGAACCAAUAGUGAAUCAGUAGAUUGUACUUUAAAAUUGUUCUGGGAAACUCGGAUGUAGGGUACGUCUGCUGGUGGCAACAGAGACGUACAGGGUUGUAAUGAGAGGGACCCGAGACCCAGAACGAGCGCCCGUAUUGUUGGAUGAGUGGCAGUUGGAGCGGAAAUACCCAACAAGGGGCGUGACGUCAGAGCCGGUGACAUCAUGGGUCCCACAAAGGCAUCAUUCAUUUGAGGCAGUUGGACAGCGCACAUGUUCGAAAUAGCUGGCGAUGAAGGUGGCGACCCAGCACUCAGACCCAGCUAGGAGGACAUGCUCUUUUUGGAAACACAGGAUUGGUGUGCAUGUACAUGCAGCAUAAGUAUGCAAACAAUAGGACAGUUUCUGUUGCCAUGAGAGUCAACAUAUUCACCAGAAAAUGGCAAAUUAUACAGACCAUCUGCUGCAGUGCAUGAUGGAGCACCCAGGAUUUAUUGCCAGCUGUCUGAACAUAUGGGUAUUGGAGGUUGCGUUUUUACAAUACAGGCAACAGUAUCAGCUGUUUGGUCUUCGAGGUAUUCUCCCCACCAACUCACAACAUCCUGAGUUGAGGUCAGCAGUGUCCUAUCUCCACAAUACAGAGUGUUGACGGUGCACUGCUUCCCCAUCCUGAAACGCUGGACGGUGGACCAGAAUUUCCUCAAAGCCAUCCUGAAGUCGUUCUCUAUGGCCUCACUGAACUACUCCUACGCCCGGGUUUUUGCCUCAGUGACCACCGAAGCUGCAUUCUGCUUGGCCAGCCAGUACCUAUCAGCUGCCUCAGGAGUCCCACAAGCCAAAAAUGCCCGAUAGGACGCCUUCUUCAGCUAGACAGCAACUCUCACUGUUUGUGUCACCAAUGUGUUCGCGGGUUGUUGCCCUGACAGGCACCGACCACCUUACGGCCACAGCUUCGGUCGGCCGCUUGAAGCAGAUUGAUGGAGCUCCGAGAGGGGGCACUCUCCAGGACUCCCUCAAAGGACUCCAAAAAUUGUGGGUGCUCUUAACUACUGUUUGGUGCAUAAGCACAAACAACAGUCAGGACCCAUCCCCCUACCUGCAGGUGGAGGGAUGGUACCCUCUCAUCCACCAGGGUAAACCCCAACAUACAGUCCCCGAGCAGGGGGCUAAUAAGUAUACCCGCACCUGCUCGGCGUCUCUUGCAAAGUGACUAGUAUGUAAUACUGCUUGUUUUAAUGCAAUGUUGCAUUUUAUUAAAAUUAAAAA